rnacentral:rRNA from 1 species
GAUGAACGCUGGCGGUGUGCCUAAUACAUGCAAGUCGAACGGGCUCUUCGGAGCUAGUGGCGGACGGGUGAGUAACACGUUGGUACCUACCCCUAAGUGGGGAAUAACUGCCCGAAAGGGUGGCUAAUACCGCAUAAUCCCGCAAGGGUAAAGCAGUAAUGCGCUUAGGGAGGGGCCUGCGUCUGAUUAGCUAGUUGGUAGUGUAAUGGACUACCAAGGCGACGAUCAGUAGCUGGAUCGAGAGGUUGACCAGCCACACUGGGACUGAGAUACGGCCCAGACUCCUACGGGAGGCAGCAGUAAGGAAUCUUCCACAAUGGACGAAAGUCUGAUGGAGCAACACCGCGUGCAGGAUGACGGUCUUCGGAUUGU